UACGAAGGUGGCAAGCGUUACUCGGAAUUACUAGGCGUAAAGGGCAGGUAGGUGGUUUAGUAAGUCUGUUGUUAAAGCUCCCGGCUUAACCGGGAGAGGUCAACGGAAACUGCUAGGCUUGAGUAUAGGAGAGGGUACUGGAAUUCCUGGUGUAGCGGUGAAAUGCGCAGAUAUCAGGAGGAACACCGAUGGCGAAAGCAGGUACCUGGACUAUUACUGACACUCAGCUGCGAAAGCUAGGGGAGCAAACAGG
rnacentral:rRNA from 1 species